AUACCAUGAUGAGGACAUCUCUAUACAAGCAAUUUAAAAUGUUCCCAAGCCUCGUAGAAGUUUUCUCCUUCCAUUUUUUUUUUGAAAUUGGCAAUAUCUCUUCUUAGUUG
rnacentral:snoRNA from 1 species